CGAGGCCCAUCUGCAUUUUCACACUGACAAUUAGGUUUGCGUUCAGUCAGAGAUGACAACGCUGGCACUGGUUAUUUUUAUUUUACAAGUUUUUCACAAGUACUAGCACCAAACCAAUGAUAUCCUUCAUUGCCACCACCUUUCGGGUGAAGCUCAUUCUACCCAAGAAUGAAGCAUAGUGGCAGGAGGAAUCAUUUGGCUGGAUGCGGUGUUUGACCGAAGAGGUGUACCCAAUGUUGAGGUCAUCUACAGAGAAUUACAUCUUGCCAUCUAGGUAGGAAAGUAUGAGAUUGGUUAAUCUCUCUCUGUCCUCUGAAGUCUGCGGAAAUUUAUUAUUGUAUUAACUUGUAAUUAAAGAUGUCGGGACGCCAUGAUUCUAGGAGGGGAGAGUGUCAGACCCUGUUUAUUAAGGUAUAUUCUAUAUUUUUGAGUAAACCUAUUUUCUAUUUUUGAGUAAGCUUAUAUUACUUUAAAUUGUUGAACCCCUAUUUAAAGUGUACCUUUAAACUAUGUUUUUAUUAAGAUCACCUCUUUGGUAUAUGCUACUGGUGAAACAAAGAGAUGGGAACAAAGAUACCCCUGUCCUAUAGGCCUUGUUUAUGUCAAAACCCAGACCACUUCCCUAAUGCGUAGAGUACAUAAACAAUGAAUGACCAGUGGAUACAUUUACUGGUACUCCCUUUGUCUUGGGGAUAGGGAAUAGUGGGGUUGUUUGCCUGGUUUGGAAGAAAGAUUGGCUUUCUCGUUGAGAGCAAGUUUAGACUUCAAGGCAGAUAGACGUGUGAUGUAACUUCCCCCAGAAGUUACUAUGUCGCAGCUUUUUAAGACCUGCCUUGAUUUUGUUUCUUAACAGAGUUCCACCAUGGUUCCACCAUGGUUCCACUUCCAUUUCCCUCGGGACAAGAGUUGGGACUGCUGUCGUUGUUCAGACAACGCUCUUCGCCUGAUCGAUGUAUUUAGUGCUUACUGACGAACGACUCGUGUUUUAUCAUUUGUACUUUAUAUGAACAUCUAUUCUUUUCUUCUAUUCAUUGAUAUUUUUCUACUGUAUAGUGUAGUUUACUUUGCUCCUUUUCUAUCAUUUAUUGUACCUGUACGAUACAUUGUUAAGCUUUGCAUGUAGCUGUUUUUGUAAGAAUUGUUUGUUUGAAAUCGAAAUGCCAGUUGUCACACUGGGAAUUUAUUAUCGGUGUACCUUUGACACUGAAUAUUAAUAAAUACCUCUUUGGAAUUAUCAUUGGCACAAAA